rnacentral:misc_RNA from 1 species
GAAAAUAAUAUAGUAGUGGUAUAGAUGCACAAAAUAGUUCUAUCUUCUCUAUUUCAUGAUUGUGCAAGAACACCGUGAAAGUUCGAUCCAUGUUGUGUCAUUGUGGUUUCUGUUUGAUCACUCGAGGUGAAGUCAAUGCAGCAAGUUCUCUCGCUCCAAAAUCAGUGAAGGCCUUGCAAGGAAAUCUACAAAGGACUUGAAGG